rnacentral:rRNA from 1 species
GACGAACGCUGGCGGCGUGCUUAACACAUGCAAGUCGAACGGAUUCGUAGUUGGUAGCAAUACCUUCUACGGGUUAGUGGCGAACGGGUGAGUAACACGUGACGAACCUGCCCUGAAGACGGGGAUAACUGACCGAAAGGUCUGCUAGUACCCGAUGCCGUCACAUGGUCGCAUGGCCGAGUGACGACACGGAUUCCGCUUCAGGAGGGCGUCGCGACCUAUCAGCUUGUUUGUGGGGUAACGGCUCACCAAGGCUACGACGGGUAGCUGGUCUGAAAGGAUGAGCAGCCGCACUGGAACUGGGACACGACCCAGACGCCUGCGGGAGGCAGCAGUGGGGAAUUUUGCGCAAGGAGCGAAAGCCUGACGCAGCAACGCCGCGUGGAGGACGAAGGCUCUCGGGUUGUAAACUCCUUUCAGUAGGAACGAUAGUGACGGUACCUACAGAAGAAGCCCCGGCUAACUACGUGCCAGCCGCCGCCGUAAUAC